UAUUUCUUGAUAUACUAUAAUCCGUAGAAAAGUUAAGACGGUGGCAAUUCUCUUGAAAGAAGUGGUGCUUAUGGUGUAAAAACUAUGACUCAGAUUCUAAUGAAAGGAAUUGCAACAAGUGUCUAUUUCGGACUGCUUAGAGAUUAUGCUUAUGUUUGGCAUGUUUUUGCUUGCCUUACUGACGUAUAUCGA
rfam:Pediococcus stilesii strain DSM 18001 Scaffold26, whole genome shotgun sequence.